CACGUAGGGUGCGAGCGUUGUCCGGAAUUAUUGGGCGUAAAGAGCUCGUAGGCGGUGUGUCGCGUCGGCCGUGAAAACCUGCAGCUUAACUGUGGGCUUGCGGUCGAUACGGGCAUCACUGGAGUUCGGCAGGGGAGACUGGAAUUCCUGGUGUAGCGGUGAAAUGCGCAGAUAUCAGGAGGAACACCGGUGGCGAAGGCGGGUCUCUGGGCAACAACGUGACGCUGGAGGAGCGAAAGCGUGGGGAGCGAACAGGAUUAGACG
rnacentral:rRNA from 1 species